rnacentral:misc_RNA from 1 species
GAUGAAGAACGUAGUGAAAUGCGAUAAGUAAUGUGAAUUGCAGAAUUCAGUGAAUCAUCGAAUCUUUGAACGCACCUUGCACCCUUUGGCAUUCUGAAGGGUAUGCUCGUUUGAGUGUCAUUGUACUCUCACACUCCCGAUCUUUGCAUUGGGAGCAGUGGACUUGGGUUUGCUGCUUCACCGUCGCUUACCUCAAAUAGGUUAGUGCAACUCUUGGUUGGACAUAGUACGGCGUGAUAAGUGUUCUUCGCCGGUGCCUCGCAAAGAGGGUGGCCGAUCGGGAUGUUGUGCUCCAAACCGUCUUCGGACAAUCUCUGACGACUUGACCUCAAAUCGAGUAAGACAACCCGCUGAACUUAAGCAUAUCAAAAGCGGAGGA